rnacentral:pre_miRNA from 1 species
UGAUUUUGAGUGCUUAUCAGCUGCCAGCCCUGUUGCAACUUGAAACUGGACGGAAGACUGAUAAGAGCCUCAAUUUUGCCC